AGUGAACGCUGGCGGUAGGCCUAACACAUGCAAGUCGAACGGCAGCACAGUAAGAGCUUGCUCUUACGGGUGGCGAGUGGCGGACGGGUGAGGAAUACAUCGGAAUCUACUUUUUCGUGGGGGAUAACGUAGGGAAACUUACGCUAAUACCGCAUACGACCUACGGGUGAAAGCAGGGGAUCUUCGGACCUUGCGCGAUUGAAUGAGCCGAUGUCGGAUUAGCUAGUUGGGGGGGUAAAGGCCCACCAAGGCGACGAUCCGUAGCUGGUCUGAGAGGAUGGUCCGCCACACUGGAACUGAAACACGGUCCAGGCUCCUACGGGAGGCAGCAGUGGGGAAUAUUGGACAAUGGGCGCAAGCCUGAUCCAGCCAUACCGCGUGGGUGAAGAAGGCCUUCGGGUUGUAAAGCCCUUUUGUUGGGAAAGAAAAGCAGCAGGUUAAUACCCCGCUGUUCUGACGGUACCCAAAGAAUAAGCACCGGCUAACUUCGUG
rnacentral:rRNA from 1 species